UAUGACGGACGUAGGCGAAGCACGUUGUUUCUGUGUGAUCAAUUUCCUUUUUCAGCAGAACCUUUCUUGGCUGCACAACGUAUUUUAAUCUGCGUGCAGUGUAUGAACUCGUGAUAUAUGCGGACAAAGUGGAGGUAGUUACUACAGUGUCAAGGAGUUGCACUUCCAUGAAGGAUCGGUGGACGAUUUUAGCUCAACGGCUGUUUAUGCCUGCUGGCGAAGAAACGAUGGACUGUUGUCCCGCCAAGGUGCCGAUAAUGAAAGAAAACGUACCUUAUCAAGACAGUGUGACGUCCACAAGCAAGUGCCACAGAUUUUUUAUGCUCAUGACUCGGAUGCAGCUCUGUGUGAGAAGUGGCAAGAACAGUGCGGUCACCUAGGGAGCUCCACGGACAGAUCAUGACUGCAAAGCGGCGCCAGCAGUUGCUGCUGUCACGAGUUGCUUUCAGGAGUACACUGCCACGAAGCCCAGCCGCAAAGGCAGAAGUCUGACUGAGUGAAUUGAUCCAAUUAACGGCUACUUGGCUGACUUCCUAAAAAGGCUCAAACACUCACGUCUCAUCCCAUCAUCUUGCGGACUGCCACACAUACCCAUGCCAUACAGCAAGGUCGGGGGCCAUACAGGCUAUGGACUCCAUAGGAGGCCAUACAGUGUACGGACUGCCAUAGGAGGCCAUUCAGUGUACGGACUGCCAUAGGAGGCCAUUCAGUGUACGGACUGCCAUAGGAUGCCAUACAGCGUACGGAGUCCGUACCAGUCCAUAGAGUGUAUGGAGUCCGUUCAGUUAUACCGUAUGACUGCCAAACGGACACUUGUAUGGUUUUUUCUA